rnacentral:rRNA from 1 species
UACGAAGGGGGCUAGCGUUGCUCGGAAUCACUGGGCGUAAAGGGUGCGUAGGCGGGUCUUUAAGUCAGGGGGGAAAUCCUGGAGCUCAACACCAGAACUGCCUUUGAUACUGAGGAUCUUGAGUUCGGGAGAGGUGAGUGGAACUGCGAGUGUAGAGGUGAAAUUCGUAGAUAUUCGCAAGAACACCAGUGGCGAAGGCGGCUCACUGGCCCGAUACUGACGCUGAGGCACUAAAGCGUGGGGAGCAAACAGG